rnacentral:rRNA from 1 species
GGCGGGACACGUGGUAUCCUGUCUGAAUAUGGGGGGACCAUCCUCCAAGGCUAAAUACUCCUGACUGACCGAUAGUGAACCAGUACCGUGAGGGAAAGGCGAAAAGAACCCCGGCGAGGGGAGUGAAAAAGAACCUGAAACCGUGUACGUACAAGCAGUGGGAGCACCCUUUGGGGUGUGACUGCGUACCUUUUGUAUAAUGGGUCAGCGACUUAUAUUCUGUAGCAAGGUUAACCGUAUAGGGGAGCCGGAGGGAAACCGAGUCUUAACCGGGCGUUAAGUUGCAGGGUAUAGACCCGAAACCCGGUGAUCUAGCCAUGGGCAGGUUGAAGGUUGGGUAACACUAACUGGAGGACCGAACCGACUAAUGUUGAAAAAUUAGCGGAUGACCUGUGGCUGGGGGUGAAAGGCCAAUCAAACCGGGAGAUAGCUGGUUCUCCCCGAAAGCUAUUUAGGUAGCGCCUCGUGAAUUCAUCUCCGGGGGUAGAGCACUGUUUCGGCUAGGGGGCCAUCCCGGCUUACCAACCCGAUGCAAACUGCGAAUACCGGAGAAUGUUAUCACGGGAGACACACGGCGGGUGCUAACGUCCGUCGUGAAGAGGGAAACAACCCAGACCGCCAGCUAAGGUCCCAAAGUCAUGGUUAAGUGGGAAACGAUGUGGGAAGGCCCAGACAGCCAGGAUGUUGGCUUAGAAGCAGCCAUCAUUUAAAGAAAGCGUAAUAGCUCACUGGUCGAGUCGGCCUGCGCGGAAGAUGUAACGGGGCUAAACCAUGCAC